UCUUAUCUUUGACUUAGGAGGUCCUCCUUAUUCUCCUAAAUGUAAUAAUUAGAUUUGAUAUCAGUCAGAUACGUGUGUGUGUGGUGUUCAAAAAGUAAUGGGAAUUGUAAAAUUUAAAAUUUCACGGGUUUGGGGAGUCCAAUUGUCAAAUAUUUUUUAUUAUUCUAUUGCACAAACAAAUUUAAAUAAGACAUAAAAGGGCUCUUACAUGUCAUCGAAUCGUACUGAACGGGUAGCUGCCUUCAAUUCAUAAAAUUCAACAUUAUCCGAUCUUCCAGCAACUUGGACUUCAGUAGAAAGUAAAUCCAAAUCUUCGAUCGGAAAAUAUUCAAGAUCGAAAUCCAUGUUUAUGCCGGACUCAGCCAUAAUCGCAGUUAAAUAUAUUUUAGGCAGGUCGAACUUGGGGUAAAUGGAAAAGUUCAAGCUUCAUUCGUUCAUUAAUUAAUGCAAAUUGAUUGCUGGCAGCUUGUGGUGAAUUGGUGAGUUUUCUUCAAAAUACAUUUAAUGUUGUGCAAUAUCUUUUCAUUUCACUCUUCGUUGUUUUAUUUGUUUGGCAGCUUAAUUAAGAAGAGCUUGAAACUCGGUCGUUGGCAAUCGGCAAUUAAUUCCAAUAAAAUCAACUUGAAUGUCUUGUUCAACGCUGUGAUAGUGCUCUACAAUAUAUAUACAUACAUAUGUACUACUCAUACAAAUCACUAACACAUAUGUAACCACGUGUACUUAACCAGCUGAUUACUUGCUAGUAGCUUUUACCGAUCGCUAGUUUUAGAGUUUGUGCCUCUUUUGUUGCCUUUAUCAUGUUUGUAGAAAAGCAAUUUUUUGGAUAGAUACCGUGCAAAUGUUAGUUUGUUUGUUUUUUUAUUCACAAGUUUAAAGUAGUUAUUUUGCCUCCCGUAAGAUAAACGUUGAUAUUUUGGCGGCCAUCUUUAAUUCUAUUUCAUUUUUAUUAUACAUUAAUUUAACACGAUCACUCUUCGUUGCUUUUCGUACAAACACAAAUUCAAUAUUAACACAUUCAUAAGCCUAUUAGUAUCAUUUCGAACUAUAUAUGUGAAAGCUAUUUGCCAAGUUGAGUGUGCGAGCGUAAUAUUGGCUGUCGCAACCAAUUCAAACUCUUGAGUUUAUGUCGCGAACGAAAUAAUUAAACAAGCACCACCGUUUUUUUACAAAUACUAAAAGAUUUUGAAAAAUUUACUAUUUAAUGCUGACGUUCUUUUAGUUUUUAGCAAUUGCAUGUAUCAACUUUUAAGCUUAAUUGUAGAACUUCACCACUUAGUGCCAACCGUUCGUCUACCUACUAGCGACACCGGGGAAAAAGAUAAAGCAGUGGGAGAGUAUUUACUCAUAGCAGUCGUACAGUUAAAGAAAUGGUUUCGGACGUAGCUUUGAAUGUACUAUGUAACUCACCUCAGUUAGUGGUGGAUACAAAAACGAUAAUUGUAUGGACAAUUUUCGCAAAAAUCUCAUCUAAAGUUUCGACGUGUUCUGUAGUUUUGGAAAUCCUCUAUCUGUCAGGCACCAAGUACUAACAUACUUGUUAAGAAACUACAAUUUACAAAAGUAUACAAUAUGUAUAAACAUGUUUUUUUAAACAGCUACGUUUAGUGAAUCCAUUUGUCAAUAUUGCCAUAUAACUAAUUAUAUGUAUAACUUUAUUUAUAACCUUUUUUAUGACAUUUACCUUUUUUGUGUUGCCUUAAGGUGGACAGAAGAGCUUGACCAGAAGAUGUUAUAACGGUAGUGUCAAUUUCCUUAGUUAUGCUUUUGUAAUUGACGUACAUUAAUUUUAAAGCACUCAUCAUAACUUCGACAAAUAGAUGUCGCGUCCAGUGAAAAUAGGAAGAGAUAAGAAGAAUGAACAAUAGAUUUGUUAAUUAUUACAAUUGUAUUAUUACAUUGUUAUUGUUUUUCUCAACUAAAGAGAUAGAUAUAAGAUAAGAUAUAUAUGGAAUAUAUUGUGUAUAUGACAGAAAUAUCAACCUAAUGGACCAAAACCAUUAUAUUUAUAUAUUCGGGGUAUGGGGGCUAGAACGUCGAGAUCGAUUU